rnacentral:rRNA from 1 species
UAAGCCAUGCAUGUCUAAGUAUAAGCAAUUAUACAGCGAAACUGCGAAUGGCUCAUUAUAUAAGUUAUCGUUUAUUUGAUAGUACCUUACUACUUGGAUAACCGUGGUAAUUCUAGAGCUAAUACAUGCUGAAAAUCCCGACUUCGGAAGGGAUGUAUUUAUUAGAUUAAAAACCAAUGCCCUCUGGGCUCCUUGGUGAUUCAUAAUAACUUUUCGAAUCGCACGGCCUUGCGCCGGCGAUGGUUCAUUCAAAUUUCUUCCCUAUCAACUUUCGAUGUUUGGGUAUUGGCCAAACAUGGUCGCAACGGGUAACGGAGGGUUAGGGCUCGACCCCGGAGAAGGAGCCUGAGAAACGGCUACUACAUCCAAGGAAGGCAGCAGGCGCGCAAAUUACCCAAUCCCGAUUCGGGGAGGUAGUGACAAUAAAUACUGAUACAGGGCUCUUUUGGGUCUUGUAAUUGGAAUGAGUACAAUUUAAAUCUCUUAACGAGGAACAAUUGGAGGGCAAGUCUGGUGCCAGCAGCCGCGGUAAUUCCAGCUCCAAUAGCGUAUAUAAAAGUUGUUGUGGUUAAAAAGCUCGUAGUUGAACCUUGGGCCUGGCUGGCCGGUCCGCCUCACCGCGUGUACUGGUCCGGCCGGGCCUUUCCCUCUGUGGAACCUCAUGCCCUUCACUGGGUGUGGCGGGGAAACAGGACUUUUACUUUGAAAAAAUUAGAGUGCUCCAGGCAGGCCUAUGCUCGAAUACAUUAGCAUGGAAUAAUAAAAUAGGACGUGUGGUUCUAUUUUGUUGGUUUCUAGGACCGCCGUAAUGAUUAAUAGGGACAGUCGGGGGCAUCAGUAUUCAAUUGUCAGAGGUGAAAUUCUUGGAUUUAUUGAAGACUAACUACUGCGAAAGCAUUUGCCAAGGAUGUUUUCAUUAAUCAGGAACGAAAGUUAGGGGAUCGAAGACGAUCAGAUACCGUCGUAGUCUUAACCAUAAACUAUGCCGACUAG